rnacentral:rRNA from 1 species
GAUGAACGCUAGCGGCAGGCCUAACACAUGCAAGUCGAGGGGUAACGGGGUGCUUGCACCGCCGACGACCGGCGCACGGGUGAGCAACGCGUAUAGAACCUACCCGUUACAGGGGGAUAGCCCAGAGAAAUUUGGAUCAAUACCCCGUGGGGCCCAUGACCGGCAUCGGUCUUGGGCUAAAGAACUUCGGUAACGGAUGGCUGUGCGUCCCAUUAGCUAGUUGGGGGGGUAACGGCCCACCAAGGCGUCGAUGGGUAGGGGCCCCUGGAGAGGGGGAUCCCCCACACUGGUACUGAGACACGGACCAG